rnacentral:rRNA from 1 species
UACGAAGGGUGCAAGCGUUACUCGGAAUUACUGGGCGUAAAGCGUGCGCAGGUGGUUGUGUAAGCUUGAUGUGAAAUCCCCGGGCUUAACCUGGGAAUGGCAUUGAGGACUGCACGGCUAGGGUGUGGCAGAGGGGGGUGGAAUUCCGCGUGUAGCAGUGAAAUGCGUAGAGAUGCGGAGGAACACCGAUGGCGAAGGCAGCCCCCUGGGCUAACACUGACACUCAUGCACGAAAGCGUGGGGAGCAAACAGG